rnacentral:snoRNA from 1 species
UUCAAUGAUGAACGUAUUAUACAGUUCUGCUACUGAAUUCCUUUGAAGAUAGCUUAUACCGCUUACCUUUGUCUGAUA